GAGCAGCAGCAGCAGCGCGUUGAGCCCGGCCACGUAGAGCGCCAGCCCGGUGCGGCCCUGCAGGCCGGCGCGCGGUCUCACUCUGUAUCUGAGGCCAGAGUGUGGCAGCCUGUAACUCCUGAAGCGAUCCUCCUCUCUCUCAGCCUCCCAAAGCACUGGAAUUACAGGUCCUGGCAGGAGCUCUGGUAUCUGGGAAGCUGGAUAGAGAGCCUGGCCUGGAGCCCACCCUCUGCAACCUAGCUUUGUGAACUUGGCAAAUCCAUUCUAUGCGCCUCUGUUUUCUGUACAGUGGGGACCUGAUUUAUCUGGCAACCUCCACCAGAUUGGUAAUUUUACUGUAAAGCCCAGUACCAUCUUAUUUUAUUUCAUUAUUUUAUUUUUA